rnacentral:rRNA from 1 species
GACGAACGCUGGCGGCGUGCCUAAUACAUGCAAGUCGAGCGAACAUUUGAGAGCUUGCUCUCAGGAUGUUAGCGGCGGACGGGUGAGUAACACGUGGGCAACCUGCCUAUAAGACUGGGUUAACUUCGGGAAACCGGAGCUAAUACCGGAUAAUUCAUAUCUACUCAUGUAGAUAUGCUGAAAGACGGUUUACGCUGUCACUUAUAGAUGGGCCCGCGGCGCAUUAGCUAGUUGGUGAGGUAACGGCUCACCAAGGCCACGAUGCGUAGCCGACCUGAGAGGGUGAUCGGCCACACUGGGACUGAGACACGGCCCAGACUCCUACGGGAGGCAGCAGUAGGGAAUCUUCCGCAAUGGACGAAAGUCUGACGGAGCAACGCCGCGUGAGUGAUGAAGGUUUUCGGAUCGUAAACUCUGUUGUUAGGGAGAACAAGUACCAGAGUAACUGCUGGUACCUUGACGGUACCUAACCAGAAAGCCACGGCUAACUAC